GGAGGAGGAGGAAGGAGGAGGAGGA
rnacentral:misc_RNA from 1 species